rnacentral:lncRNA from 1 species
CAACGGCUAAAGACGUUGCUAAUGUCAUUGAUAAUUGAUAAUUUUAUUUUUUAAAAAAUUUAUAAUAAUUUUUUUAAAAUCUAUUUUAAUUAAUCACAAUCAAUUAUUGUUCCUAACACCUGUUAUAAUUAAAAUUCAAAGAUAAUACGAUAAUCAUAAAUAAAAAAUUAAUUAUAUUAUAUUAAAAAUAUAAUCAUAUAAUUUUACAAGCAGUAUAAAAAAAUACAAUACAUCAAAAUAAAAAGAAAUCAGUCA